rnacentral:lncRNA from 1 species
AGCUGUUAAACGGGCCAAAAGUUAAACAUAGGAAAGAGAGGCCCAAUCAAGGUUGCCAAAAGUUGAAAUAUAUACUGAUGUAAAACAUAAAAUUAUUAAAAUAUAUGUUGUCUCUGCUGUAAAGUUUAGUCAUUAAACUGCUUACUCUAAGAUCGUAAAACCAAGUUAAUACUGUAAGAGGGUUUACGGUGUUCGAAGACGAUACAGCGAGGUCGACCAGAGCUACGGCAAGGUCGACGACAAGAGCUACGGCGAGGUCGACAGACGGCGCAAAUGGCGGGAACGAAAGCGAAAUCGAAUGACAAGAACAAAGGCGGCGAGA